AACGAACGCUGGCGGCGUGCCUAACACAUGCAAGUCGUGCGAGAAAGUUCCUUCGGGAGCGAGUAAAGCGGCGCACGGGUGAGUAACACGUAGGUAACCUGCCCCCCAGUCUGGAACAACUAGAGGAAACUCUAGCUAAUGCCGGAUGAGACCACGAUCCCUUCGGGGGUUGCGGCCAAAGAUGGCCUCUACUUGUAAGCUAUCGCUGAGGGAUGGGCCUGCGGGCCAUUAGCUUGUUGGUGAGGUAACGGCUCACCAAGGCUGUGAUGGCUAGCUGGUCUGAGAGGAUGACCAGCCACACUGGGACUGAGACACGGCCCAGACUCCUACGGGAGCAGCAGUGGGGAAUAUUGCGCAAUGGGCGAAAGCCUGACGCAGCGACGCCGCGUGGGUGAUGAAGGCCU
rnacentral:rRNA from 1 species